rnacentral:rRNA from 1 species
AUUGAACGCUGGCGGCAUGCCUUACACAUGCAAGUCGAACGGUAACAGGUCUUCGGAUGCUGACGAGUGGCGAACGGGUGAGUAAUACAUCGGAACGUGCCCGAGAGUGGGGGAUAACGAAGCGAAAGCUUUGCUAAUACAGCAUACGAUCUCAGGAUGAAAGCAGGGGGCCGCAAGGCCUUGCGCUCACGGAGCGGCCGAUGGCAGAUUAGGUAGUUGGUGGGAUAAAAGCUUACCAAGCCGACGAUCUGUAGCUGGUCUGAGAGGACGACCAGCCACACUGGGACUGAGACACGGCCCAGACUCCUACGGGAGGCAGCGGUGGGGAAUUUUGGACAAUGGGCGCAAGCCUGAUCCAGCCAUGCCGCGUGCAGGAUGAAGGCCUUCGGGUUGUAAACUGCUUUUGUACGGAACGAAAAGACUCCUUCUAAUAAAGGGGGUCCAUGACGGUACCGUAAGAAUAAGCACCGGCUAACUACGUGCCAGCCGCCGCCGUAAGAC